AAAGAGAAAAUUCUAAAUGAACAAAAUUAGAUAUGGAAUUGAUGGCAGUAAACACACUAGCUCUCGAAUCUCGAAAUAACAAAAAUAGCAAGAAGACACUAAAAGAUUAUCGAGUUAAAUGACAUGGACAGGUGACUUGUACAAGCUCCAUGAAGAUUGAAGCCUCAUUCGCCACAAGAAAGUCAGUGGUGCACCGAAUCAAAAGAGUCAAAUUUAAGCGACUGAUUGGAGGUAAAUUCUAGUGGAGGCUGCAUUGUUACACGUCAAACACAUAUCAACAUCAUCCACGUGUCUGGUCAAGGGUCAAUCCUCCGAUACGGGACGUUGGAUUUGUUCGAUCGUAGGACCUGUAUGCGUACGCGUGGCUACCUGCCAUAACAAGAUGAACAAACAAAUAGAGACGUUAGCUUUGGCAAAAACAUGGCCAUGAAUUGCGAUGAAACAAGCAACAAUUCUUGAACUGAAUUCAAUAAAUGAUGCAUCAUAGAUAACAGACGUGGCAUUAUCGUAAAUGCCAUCGAGAUUUGGGGGCACUUUUUGAAGAUGAUAAGAUCUGGGCUUUCAUCUUUCGCUGUAAGAUGUUACGUUUCAUCUUUGUGUUUUGAUGGUGGGGCGAUGUAUUGAUUCAAUCGCGGGACGUGGAGUCGGGACGAAGAUAACGGCGGAUAUGGGACAUAGGAUCUUUGUGGGUCCGACGCGGAGGUAUGGGAAAUAUAUAUAUAUAUAUAUAGAGAGAGAGAGAGAGAGAGAUAGAGAGAUUGCCACUUUUUUCUUAGAGUAAUCAAUAUAUAUUAUUUUUUAACUCUCAUGAUAGUAUAAGUUUACGAUACUAUCCUUAUUUUUAACUAAUUUUUUAUUUAUAUUUAUUAUAAAUUAAAUAAAGCACAUGAAUAGAAACUAAAUAAAAAAUUAAGUAUAAAUAUAUAUUUUGAUAUGAGUAAAAAAAUUAAUAAUAAAUUUUUUUUCUUGUACUUAUUUAUUUUGUGAAAAUUUUCUUAUAAUAAAUAUAUAAGAAAAUUAUUAUAAAAUGAUAANNNNNNNNNNNNNNNNNNNNNNNNNNNNNNUUGGCCGUACAGCAGAAUAAUUAAAAAUAAAAAUAAUAUUAGAAAUUUAUGUUGUCAUGAAAAUUUUUGGUCAUUAUAAAAAUAUUAGGAAGAUAAAUAGUAUAUGUUGAUUAGACCGACCGUUUGGGCAGGCUUUUAUUUUGUUUUUUGUUUGGUUGCGUUGGGUCGGGUCUGCAUUUCAAGAAAAAAGAAGCACGUGCAUGGGCUGAAUCAUUUUGGUCCCCGCGCUCGAUUUUGUAAACCAGAUAAUAGCAGUGCCUGUGAACCGAUGAGUUGUCCUCAUUUCAGACACGAUGGACUAGCGAUUUUCCUCCACGGACGUCAAAAACGUCAAAAACAAUAUAAAGAGUAAGAUUAAAAAUUAUUUUAGACACAUGAAAAUGACCAUCUUACAAAAGAAUUUAAGUCCAUCAACCAACGAAAUCCAAGAAUUCUACAUUCAUCAAACUAACUUGACAUUUGAGAAACUUGGGCUAGUGAUUGGAGUUGUUUUUACGUACUACCCUUAUCUCUAUGCUACGACACAAAGACAAUAAUAUGUAAAUAGCAAAACUAAAAUGGCUAGGACUCACUAAAAUCUAUCAAUUUGAUUACAGACCAAUUUGGUGUUUGGUAUAAUUUGAUGCCCGCGUCGUUUAAGGGAAAGGAAGAAUGAAAAAAUAGAAAAAGGGAGAGCGCCCGGCCCAUUCACCUACCAUUUUCAAUGAUUUUGUAGGUAAACUAUUGCGUCUUGAGAGAGAGAAAAUAUUAUAUGCGCACUCGAUUCUCUCUAAGGCUAAUAUUAUAUGCUAGCAGCUGUUCGACCUCGACACGAAGAAAGUGGCAGACAAUGUCUUGUAAUAAAAUCGCUGGAGAAUAUGUUGAGCUAAAUCAUAAAUAUAUAGCCUGUCCUCAUGAUACAGCACUAACAUGCACCUUCGUCAAAUUUGGGUUCCUUGCCCUAUAUUUAAAUAGUUAAUUUUAGGGUCUCUGCGAUCGACGUAGCUUCCUAUUGGUUA
rnacentral:lncRNA from 1 species